UGGUUCUUCACUGAAGGCAAGACAGACCCAUAAGCAACCAAUUCUAAUGCUAAGGUCCAAGCGCAGAAGUGGAAGUGUGUGUGAGGUUCCGUGUGAGCACAGAAGUGAGAGGGCUAAUUCUGCUUGUGAGACUUACAGGGGAUUCACAACCUCUGGAGGAGGCUUUGCCAGGCAGAGAAGAGAAAAGAAGAUAUUUGAAGUCAAACAAGCAGUUUAUUCACUGGCUUGGAGGGGGAAAUUUGGACAUAGACAUGCACACAGAGAGAACGCCGUAUGAAGAUGAAGGCAGAGAUCGAGGUGGUGCUUCUACCAGCCAAGGACCACAAAGAUAGCCAGCAGAUGAGCAGCUCGGAGAGAAACAUGGAACAGAUUCUCCCUCCCAGCCCUCAGAAGGAACCAACCCUGUGGACACCGUGACUUUGGACUUCUAGCCUCCAAAACUCUGGCCCGUGAGUCCGAGUCCUAUUCAUCUUUUCUUUCCACUGGUGCUUAAUAUGGUGCAAGGCAUGCAGGAGAUGCCCAGUUAAUGUUGACUGAUGGAAAUUAUAAAGCGCUAAAGGAGCAUGACACCAUCCACGAGCAUUCGUUAAGCACCAGCGAUGUCGUCUCUGAACUCAAGGCACUCAUACUACAGUACAGCAAAUACGAAAAAGAUUCAAG
rnacentral:lncRNA from 1 species